AAAACAGUUAAAAGCAUGCCUGCAACGUCUAUCUGUAAUUGGAACGGCUGCAUACUUGUGAACUUUUCUCCCUUACUCUGCUGUAUUUCUGCCAUCUGCUCCCUAACAUAUUUCCCUCAAAUCACCACAAUGUCAAAUGAUUUGAUUUCAAUACAUUU